rnacentral:lncRNA from 13 species
CCGCUGAGGGCAGUAGGUGUACAAACUUUAGGAAUUACCAGGCAUUACUAGGGCAUUACUGGGCAUUACUGGGGCAUUACUGGGCAAUACUGGGCAAUACUGGGCAUUACUGGGGCAUUACUGAGGCAUUAAUGCGCAUUAUAGUGGGCAUAAUUAAAUCUCUGAGCAUUAUUACGUUUAUUUUUAAACUGAUAAUUGUUUUGUGUCAAACAUUAUAUUUAAAAUAUGUAAUAACAGUGCUCAAUCGGAAUUAGUUACAACUUUCCAGGCAGAUUUCCGAAGCGACACCUAUUGCUCCCCCCCACUACCGUACGAGGCUCGGCGGCCGGGCCACCGAUGCGCAUGACGCUGUUUCUCAGAAGCGUCCCAUAUCGAUAAUACGAGUAUAUGUUUAUUUCAGCGAUCUUGUUAAAUUCUAUAACAUUGAUCGUAAACAUUGAUCGUAACAUUGAUCGUAAUAUAACAUUUAUAGUAAAAAAUGGUGUAUUAUCUGCAGCAUGAUACCAUGAUCCAUUGAAAGAAGCUUUGUAUAAAGAAAGAAAAGGAGGUUAUGUCUUAAAAAAAAGGUAAAUCUACUUAACAUUACAUAAUCAAAAAA